ensembl:lncRNA
UGGGAGGGGAGUUGGGGAGGGGGGGGACCGGCUCCAGGGGUCUUCAGCACGAGGGGGUUUGGGGGAGAGGGUGUAUGGGAUCCGGGGGUCUCCAAGGUGGGGGGAUUGGGGAGGGGGUGCCCCGGCUCCGGACAUCUCCAGCAAGAGGGGAUUUGGGGAAGGGGUGUACGGGAUCCGGGGGUCUCCAGCACGAGGGGGUUUUGGGGAAGGGGUGUACAGGCUCCGGGGUUCUCCAACGUGGGGGGAUUGCGGAGGGGGUGCCCAGGCUCUGGGGGUCCCCAGCGUGGAUGCGCCCGGGUUGCAGGGGUCUCCAGAUCGGGGGUGUUGGCGAAGGGGUGUUCAGGCUCCGGGGGGCUCCAGCAAGAGGGGAUUUGGGGGAGAGGGUGUCCACGCUCUGGGGGUCUCCAACGUGGGGGGAUUGGGGAGGGGGUGUCCAGCAUGACAGGAGUGGGGAGGGGAUGCCCGAGUUCUGGGGGUCCCCAAUGUGGGGGGGAUUGAGGGUGGGGUGCCUGAGUUCUGGGGGUCUCCGGCACAAAGGGAUUUUGGGGAAGGGGUGCCCAGUUUGUGAGUGUCCCCGGCACGAGGGGAUUUGGGGAGCUCGGGGAAGGAGUAUCCAGGCUUCGGGGGUCCCCUGCAUGAAGGGAUUGGGGAGGGGAUGCCCGAGUUCUGGGGGUCCCCAGAGUGGGGGCGUUGGGGAAGAGCUGCCCCAGCUCCGGGGGUCUUCAGCACGAGGGGAUUUUGAGGAAGAGGUGUCCAGCUUCUGGGGGCCUCCAGUAUGCGGGUACCCCGGUUAUGGGGUCCCUAGCGUGAGGGGGGUCGUGGGGGUGCCCAGAUCUCUGUGUCCCCCUGGGGACACAUCCCCCUGUGGAUUUGGGUUCUGGAUCCCACCGGGGCUCUCGGGGGGGGAGCGGUGGCUGCGGGGCAGGGACAGGCGGGGCAGGGGGCGGCAGGGGGGGCGGCGGGGCCCCCGCAGGGGGCAGCGUGCCCGCCCCGCAUUCCUCGCAUUCCCGGCUCGCCCGCAGUCCCGUGGGGCGGGCGGGCAGCGGGAGCCCCGUCUCCCCCCACACACACGCACACGCAGCCCCCCACCCGUGUCUGCCCCACGCGGGAGGACCUGGAGGGGGUGGGACCCGGUGCCGAGCCGCGGGGUCCCCGUCCCCUCCAGGAUUUGGGGUAAAAAGGGGGGUGAACGGAGCGCGGAGCUGCGGGCGCGGCACCCCGCAGGUGUCCCCGCGAUGAGUGACACGUCCUCGGCCAGCCGGGGGAUUGGGUGGCCGGGUAUAAAUAGCCGCGGGGCGGCGAAACCCGAGCGCGAGCAUCCGAAACCUGGCCAAAAAUUCCGCCCCCACCCCGCCCCGCCCCCCGGCACCUUCCCGGAGCGCCCCGUGCUGGCGUCUGCGGGCCGCCAGAGGGGGCGCGGGGCCCGGCUCCUGCGCCCAGGGCGCACGCAGCUCCCACGGGUGACAGCGCGAAGGGGCAGCAGGGGACGUCUGCCCCCGCGUGGAGCCGGUCACCCGUGGGCUCCGUGCCCCGCCAGACCCCUCGGGCACGUGGGGACGGUGCCCUGGCGGAUUUUGGGGUGUUUGUGCCCCGCCUUCCCCUCAGAGCUUCGCAUCCCAGAACCGGAGAACUUCUGCCAAAAUGUUCCUGUGGGGGCGCGCUGCCAAAAGUGUGCCCCGGGUGUCCCAACGGGAAGGGCUUGUCCUUGUCACCCCUCUUCCCCCACCACCCCUGGAGUGUAAAAAAAUAUAUAUAUAAAAAAAUAAAUCAAUAAAAUAAAUGUUUUUUCCGCCUCCUGGAGCUGGCGGGCUGCAGAGCCCUGCCAAGCGCCUUCACCUCUGCACCAAGAGCGGG